rnacentral:rRNA from 1 species
CCUACGGGAGGCAGCAGUGGGGAAUAUUGGGCAAUGGGCGCAAGCCUGACCCAGCCACGCCGCGUGAAGGAUGAAGGUUUUCGGAUUGUAAACUUCUGUCGCGAGGGACGAAGAAUGACGGUACCUCGUAAGAAAGCACCGGCUAACUACGUGCCAGCAGCCGCGGUAAUACGUAGGGGGCAAGCGUUGACCGGAAUGACUGGGCGUAAAGGGAGUGUAGGCGGCUCAUCAAGUUAGAUGUGAACUCCCGCGGCUUAACCGGGGAACUGCAUCGAACACUGGGAAGCUGGAGUGCAGGAGAGGUGGGUGGAAUUCCUGGUGUAGCGGUGGAAUGCGUAGAGAUUAGGAGGAACACCAGAGGCGAAGGCGACCCACUGGACUGUGACUGACGCUGAGGCGCGAAAGCGUGGGGAGCAAACAGGAUUAGAUACCCGGGUAGUC